CCUACGGGAGGCAGCAGUAGGGAAUAUUGCUCAAUGGGGGAAACCCUGAAGCAGCAACGCCGCGUGGAGGAUGAAGGUUUUCGGAUUGUAAACUCCUUUUGUUAGAGAAGCUAAUGACGGUAUCUACCGAAUACGCCCCGGCUAACUCCGUGCCAGCAGCCGCGGUACUACGUAGGAGGCAAGCGUUAUCCGGAAUGACUGGGCGUAAAGGGUGCGGAGGUGGUUUGACAAGUUAGUAGCGUAAUUCCGGGGCUCAACUUCGGAACUACUACUAAAACUGUUGGGCUUGAGUGCAGGAGAGGGGAAUGGAAUUCCUAGUGUAGCGGUGGAAUGCGUAGAUAUUAGGAGGAACACCAGCGGCGAAAGCGAUUCACUGGACUGUAACUGACACUGAGGCACGAAAGCGUGGGGAGCAAACAGGAUUAGAUACCCGUGUAGUC
rnacentral:rRNA from 1 species